ACGAACGCUGGCGGCGCGCCUAACACAUGCAAGUCGAACGAGAGAGAGGGAGCUUGCUUCCUUGAUCGAGUGGCGAACGGGUGAGUAACGCGUGAGGAACCUGCCUCAAAGAGGGGGACAACAGUUGGAAACGACUGCUAAUACCGCAUAAGCCCACGACCCGGCAUCGGGAAGAGGGAAAAGGAGCAAUCCGCUUUGAGAUGGCCUCGCGUCCGAUUAGCUAGUUGGUGAGGUAACGGCCCACCAAGGCGACGAUCGGUAGCCGGACUGAGAGGAUGAACGGCCACAUUGGGACUGAGACACGGCCCAGACUCCUACGGGAGGCAGCAGUGGGGAAUAUUGCACAAUGGGGGAAACCCUGAUGCAGCGACGCCGCGUGGAGGAAGAAGGUCUUCGGAUUGUAAACUUCAGUCAACAGGGAAGAAGAAAGUGACGGUACCUGUGGAGGAAGCCACGGCUAACUACGUGCCAGCCGCCGCGGUAA
rnacentral:rRNA from 1 species